GGACGAACGCUGGCGGCGUGCUUAACACAUGCAAGUUGAACGGGCAUACAUGGAAGCUUGCUGAAGUGUAUGUUAGUAGCGGACGGGUGAGUAAUGCAUGAGAAGCUGCCAUUGGGAGGGGGACAACAGUUGGAAACGGCCGCUAAUACCCCGUACGGUUGUGAAGCUCUCGGGCUUUGCAAAGAAAGGGGCCUUUAAAGCGUCGCCGCAAGAUGAGUCCGCCCCCCAUUAGUUUGUUGGUGAGGUAAAAGCUCACCAAGACUACGAUGGGUAGCCGAACUGAGAGGUUGAUCGGCCACACUGGAACUGAGACACGGUCCAGACACCUACGGGUGGCAGCAGUAGGGAAUAUUGCGCAAUGGGCGAAAGCUUGACGCAGCCAUGCCGCGUGGAUGAUGAAGGCCUUCGGGUCGUAAAGUCCUUUUCUGAGGGAAGAACAUCCAAGGGAGGUAAUGCCCUUGGCUUGACGGUACCUCAGGAAUAAGCAACGGCUAACUCCGUGCCAGCAGCCGCGGUAAUACGGAGGUUGCAAGCGUUGUUCGGAUUAACUGGGCGUAAAGGGAGCGCAGGCGGUCUAGUAAGUCUAAAGUGAAAGCCCGGGGCUCAACCCCGGGUCUGCUUCGGAAACUACUAGACUUGAGUACGUGAGAGGAAUGCGGAAUUUCAGGUGUAGCGGUGAACUGCGUAGAUAUCUGAAGGAACAUCGGUGGCGAAAGCGGCUCACUGGCACGAAACUGACGCUGAGGCUCGAAAGCGUGGGGAGCGAACGGGAUUAGAUACCCCGGUAGUCCACGCCGUAAACGUUGUGCACUAGGUGUGGGAGGUAUCGACCCCUCCCGUGCCGCAGCUAACGCAUUAAGUGCACCGCCUGGGGAGUACGGUCGCAAGACUGAAACUCAAAGGAAUUGACGGGGGCCCGCACAAGCGGUGGAGCAUGUGGUUUAAUUCGAGGCAACGCGAAGAACCUUACCCAGCCUUGACAUCCCGUGACCGCCAUGGAAACAUGGUUUUCUCUUCGGAGACGCGGUGACAGGUGUUGCAUGGCUGUCGUCAGCUCGUGUCGUGAGAUGUUGGGUUAAGUCCCGCAACGAGCGCAACCCUUGUCCUUAGUUACCAGCGGUUCGGCCGGGCACUCUAGGGAGACUGCCGGUGAUAAGCCGGAGGAAGGUGGGGACGACGUCAAGUCAUCAUGGCCCUUAUGGCUGGGGCUACACACGUGCUACAAUGGCCGGUACAAAGGGUCGCAAACCCGCGAGGGUAAGCCAAUCUCAAAAAGCCGGUCUCAGUUCGGAUUGGAGUCUGCAACCCGACUCCAUGAAGUUGGAAUCGCUAGUAAUCGCGUAUCAGCUACGACGCGGUGAAUACGUUCCCGGGCCU
rnacentral:rRNA from 1 species